rnacentral:piRNA from 1 species
UUUGAGUCCGCAUCAGGGAAGCA